CCCAUCUCCCAGGCCACAGCAUAGCAACCGAACAUGGCGGCUGCGCAGACGCCGCCAGUCAGCCGCUCGGAACGGCGGCCGCGGCCACGGGAGGCGAUCUCGCGAGAGGUGAGGCCGAGCCCCGCUCCCCGCCGGCGCGGGCUGGAAGCGGCCCCACCAGCCGGAGCGCGGGGGACGCGCAGGUCCCAGACACUGCGCAACGUGGGUUAACUCAUCAUCCUUAAGGUCUUCUAGGAGGUUGCUUCCAUGGAAGACAGUGUUCUCAAUGGCUAGGAGUUAUUUCAUCAUUUGGUAGACUCAGCAUCCUGGCUUCCACCCACGGGUUUCCUCCCUGGGCCUCCCGGGCCCCAGGCUAUGGCAAGCUUGCGCCCCCUGCCGGUCAGUGAAGCAUCUGCAAGAAACAGUGUCCUGCAGUCCUCAACAUCAGCCAUCCUGAGCACAGUCCCUAGCUCUGGAACUAGCCCCCUGAAGAGUUCUCACAGGGCUCUGAGCAUCUGAGGAAUGCUUGGAUUCACCUCCCUGCGGUAGAGAACUGAAUUGGUUGGAACAGGAUCUCCUGGAUACUGGUGGAAAUAUAAAUAUGCAUAUGUAUCAAGAACCUUCAAAUUUUUGAUUCAGCCUCACCUCCUCCAGGAAGACUUCCAUGACCACACCCCUUAUCAUCCCAGUGUAAUCUGUAUUUCUCCUUUCCCUGUAGCAUUUUUGCU